rnacentral:rRNA from 1 species
UAAUACAUGCAAGUCGUACGCACUGGCCCAACUGAUUGAUGGUGCUUGCACCUGAUUGACGAUGGAUCACCAGUGAGUGGCGGACGGGUGAGUAACACGUAGGUAACCUGCCCCGGAGCGGGGGAUAACAUUUGGAAACAGAUGCUAAUACCGCAUAACAACAAAAGCCACAUGGCUUUUGUUUGAAAGAUGGCUUUGGCUAUCACUCUGGGAUGGACCUGCGGUGCAUUAGCUAGUUGGUAAGGUAACGGCUUACCAAGGCGAUGAUGCAUAGCCGAGUUGAGAGACUGAUCGGCCACAAUGGAACUGAGACACGGUCCAUACUCCUACGGGAGGCAGCAGUAGGGAAUCUUCCACAAUGGGCGCAAGCCUGAUGGAGCAACACCGCGUGAGUGAAGAAGGGUUUCGGCUCGUAAAGCUCUGUUGUUGGAGAAGAACGUGCGUGAGAGUAACUGUUCACGCAGUGACGGUAUCCAACCAGAAAGUCACGGCUAACUACGUGCCAGCAGCCGCGGUAAUACGUAGGUGGCAAGCGUUAUCCGGAUUUAUUGGGCGUAAAGCGAGCGCAGGCGGUUGCUUAGGUCUGAUGUGAAAGCCUUCGGCUUAACCGAAGAAGUGCAUCGGAAACCGGGCGACUUGAGUGCAGAAGAGGACAGUGGAACUCCAUGUGUAGCGGUGGAAUGCGUAGAUAUAUGGAAGAACACCAGUGGCGAAGGCGGCUGUCUGGUCUGCAACUGACGCUGAGGCUCGAAAGCAUGGGUAGCGAACAGGAUUAGAUACCCUGGUAGUCCAUGCCGUAAACGAUGAGUGCUAGGUGUUGGAGGGUUUCCGCCCUUCAGUGCCGGAGCUAACGCAUUAAGCACUCCGCCUGGGGAGUACGACCGCAAGGUUGAAACUCAAAGGAAUUGACGGGGGCCCGCACAAGCGGUGGAGCAUGUGGUUUAAUUCGAAGCUACGCGAAGAACCUUACCAGGUCUUGACAUCUUGCGCUAACCUUAGAGAUAAGGCGUUCCCUUCGGGGACGCAAUGACAGGUGGUGCAUGGUCGUCGUCAGCUCGUGUCGUGAGAUGUUGGGUUAAGUCCCGCAACGAGCGCAACCCUUGUUACUAGUUGCCAGCAUUAAGUUGGGCACUCUAGUGAGACUGCCGGUGACAAACCGGAGGAAGGUGGGGACGACGUCAGAUCAUCAUGCCCCUUAUGACCUGGGCUACACACGUGCUACAAUGGACGGUACAACGAGUCGCAAGCUCGCGAGAGUAAGCUAAUCUCUUAAAGCCGUUCUCAGUUCGGACUGUAGGCUGCAACUCGCCUACACGAAGUCGGAAUCGCUAGUAAUCGCGGAUCAGCAUGCCGCGGUGAAUACGUUCCCGGGCCUUGUACACACCGCCCGUCACACCAUGGGAGUUUGUAACGCCCAAAGUCGGUGGCCUAACCUUUAUGGAGGGAGCCG